rnacentral:rRNA from 1 species
UACAGAGGGUGCAAGCGUUGUUCGGAAUUACUGGGCGUAAAGCGCGCGUAGGCGGUUAGGUAAGUCGAUUGUGAAAUCCCCGGGCUCAACCUGGGAAUUGCAGUCGAGACUGUCUGACUAGAGUGUGGGAGAGGGUGGUGGAAUUCCCGGUGUAGAGGUGAAAUUCGUAGAUAUUCGCAAGAACACCAGUGGCGAAGGCGGCUCACUGGCCCGGUACUGACGCUGAGGUGCGAAAGCGUGGGGAGCAAACAGG